UACGAAGGGUGCAAGCGUUAUCCGGAUUCACUGGGUUUAAAGGGUGCGUAGGCGGGCAAGUAAGUCAGUGGUGAAAUCUCCGAGCUUAACUCGGAAACUGCCGUUGAUACUAUUUGUCUUGAAUAUUGUGGAGGUAAGCGGAAUAUGUCAUGUAGCGGUGAAAUGCUUAGAUAUGACAUAGAACACCGAUAGCGAAGGCAGCUUGCUACACAAUUAUUGACACUGAGGCUCGAAAGCGUGGGGAUCAAACAGG
rnacentral:rRNA from 1 species